CGGAGAUGCAUCGCGGCUGAAGGAGGAAACGCAACAGCAAACUCAUGUGCAGUUCUUCAGCUCCACACCAAGAGCAACUGUUCGACAGCAGACUAGAGUGGAGCACAGACCAUGAUGUUUAGUUCCCAGGUAUGCAGGUGAGGGAAACACAAAGGCUGAUGGGACAACAGGA